rnacentral:tRNA from 1 species
UCUCUCGUUGCUUAGUGGUUAGAGCAUUGGUGCGUAAAACCAAAGUUCCCGGGUUCAAUUCUCGGCGAGGGUG